CCUACGGGAGGCAGCAGUAGGGAAUCUUCCACAAUGGACGAAAGUCUGAUGGAGCAACGCCGCGUGAGCGAUGAAGGCCUUCGGGUCGUAAAGCUCUGUUGUUAGGGAAGAACAAGUAUCGGAGUAACUGCCGGUACCUUGACGGUACCUAACCAGAAAGCCACGGCUAACUACGUGCCAGCAGCCGCGGUAAUACGUAGGUGGCAAGCGUUGUCCGGAAUUAUUGGGCGUAAAGCGCGCGCAGGCGGUCCUUUAAGUCUGAUGUGAAAGCCCACGGCUCAACCGUGGAGGGUCAUUGGAAACUGGAGGACUUGAGUACAGAAGAGGAAAGUGGAAUUCCACGUGUAGCGGUGAAAUGCGUAGAGAUGUGGAGGAACACCAGUGGCGAAGGCGACUUUCUGGUCUGUAACUGACGCUGAGGCGCGAAAGCGUGGGGAGCAAACAGGAUUAGAUACCCUGGUAGUCCACGCCGUAAACGAUGAGUGCUAAGUGUUAGAGGGUUUCCGCCCUUUAGUGCUGCAGCUAACGCAUUAAGCACUCCGCCUGGGGAGUACGGCCGCAAGGCUGAAACUCAAAGGAAUUGACGG
rnacentral:rRNA from 1 species